GGCGCGCUUAAUGCAUGCAAGUCGAGCGAUGAGGCCUCUUCGGGGGGUACAUCAGCGGCAGACGGGUGAGUAACACGUAGGUGAUCUACCCCAGAGACGGGGAUAACGGGUGGAAACAUCCGCUAAUACCGGAUAGGCUUGUUCGGUCAAAGGGACAAGGAAAGGCCCCGGCGCUCUGGGAGGAGCCUGCGGCCCAUCAGCUAGUUGGCGGGGUAACGGCCCACCAAGGCAAAGACGGGUAGGGGGUGUGAGAGCAUGGCCCCCCACAAUGGGACUGGAACACGGCCCAUACUCCUACGGGAGGCAGCAGCAGGGAAUAUUGCACAAUGGACGGAAGUCUGAUGCAGCGACGCCGCGUGGAUGAAGAAGGCCCUCGGGUUGUAAAAUCCUUUACAGGGGGAAGAGGAAGGACGGUACCCCUGGAACAAGUGUCGGCUAACUACGUGCCAGCAGCCGCGGUAAGACGUAGGACACAAGCGUUAUCCGGAUUUACUGGGCGUAAAGCGUCUGCAGGCGGACAGGUAAGUUGGGCGUGAAAGCUCCGGGCCCAACCCGGAGAGGUCGUUCAAUACUGCGUGUCUAGAGGGUGUCAGAGGGGAGUGGAAUUUCCGGAGUAGCGGUAAAAUGCGCAGAGAUCGGAAAGAACACCAAUGGCGAAGGCAGCUCCCUGGGGCAAACCUGACGCUAAGAGACGAAAGCUAGGGGAGCGAACAGGAUUAGAGACCCUGGUAGUCCUAGCCCUAAACGAUGGAUGCUGGAUGUGGGG
rnacentral:rRNA from 1 species